rnacentral:lncRNA from 1 species
AUGCCGCGGGGAGCGGCGCCGCGGGCCGUGCUGCUGGCCGCGCUGCUGGCGGGGCUCCGAGGCGCGACGGGUCGCCUGCUGAGCGCCGCGGACUUGGACUUCAGAGGAGGCCAGCCAGUCUGCCGGUUAGGAACCCAGAAGCCUUGUUAUGAAGUCAUUUACUUCCGUGAUGCUUCUCAAAGACUGAACUUUGAGGAAGCCAGAGCAGCCUGCAGGAGGAAUGGAAGCCAGCUAGUCAGCAUUGAGUCUGAAGAUGAACAGAGACUGAUAGUGAAGUUCAUUAAAAACCUCCUGGCUUCUGAUGGCGAUUUCUGGAUUGGGCUCAGGAGGCGUGAGGACCAACAAAGCAAUGGCACAGCCUGCCAGGACCUUUAUGCCUGGAUCGAUGGAAGCACAGCAGCAUUUAGGAACUGGUAUGUGGAUGAGCCUUCCUGCGGCAGCGAGGUCUGCGUGGUCAUGUAUCAUCAGCCGUCAGCCCCCGCCGGCAUCGGGGGCCCUUACAUGUUCCAGUGGAAUGACGACCGAUGUACCAUGAAGAACAAUUUCAUCUGCAAAUAUUCUGAUGAUAAGCCAACAGUUCCUUCUACAAGGACUGGAGGUGAAGAGACAGAGCCAGCAACACCCAUCCUUCCAGAAGACACAGAGAAAGAAGAUACCACAGAAAUACUGAAAGAAAGCAAAGGAAACGGGGGCAGCCGGACCCCAGCACUAAGGAGCAGCGCCCCACCUGGCCGGCUCUGCAGCCCGGGAACAGCCCGGACCUGGAGGUUUACAACGUCAUACGAAAGCAGAGCGAAGCUGAUCUGGCCGAGACCCGCCCGGACCUAA